rnacentral:rRNA from 1 species
CCCUAUAUGGGCGAGCCUGAUCCAGCCAUGCCGCGUGUGUGAAGAAGGUCUUCGGAUUGUAAAGCACUUUAAGUUGGGAGGAAGGGCAGUAAGUUAAUACCUUGCUGUUUUGACGUUACCGACAGAAUAAGCACCGGCUAACUCUGUGCCAGCAGCCGCGGUAAUCAC